CUCAGAAAGUUGUAGAUGCCAAUAUAAAUUAUAAUGCCCGGGAAGGAAAGAGCACAGCAGAGGUGCUCAACUCCUCUGGUGGCACUUCAGUAAAAGGGAAGGUUGCUUGUACCAAGUUCACUAGAAUUAGUACCAUAAUGUGUUCCUCUAUAUAUGCAGAUUUAUAUAAUUAAAAUCGUGUGUAUUGAAGUUGUUAACAUUAUAUAUAUACAUUUUUUGGAGUAAAGCAUUUGAUGUAAGUUUUUAAAGUAUUUAUUGGACUUUAUUAGAGUGUUCUACUAUAUGAGUUCAAGCUUUUACACCAGACAUAGCCAUUAGUUAUGUUUUAACUGUCAUUAGUGAUACAUCUUUUGCUGAUGGUUAAUACAUGUGAUAGUGAGAAUCCAUUUCUUACUGCUUUGGCUUCUCUUUUGUGGCAGAGAUUGACCACAAAGAUGUACCAUUUGUUACUUUAAUGGAUGUUCUUACCUAUCGAGAGAUGCAUUUUUUACUGACUCAGGUCAAAAGAACACUAGAAUUAAGGCACAGUAUUUAAGUUUAGACAAUGUUACAAAGAACUUGAGAAAGUUCUAUGCACAAGCUUACUUGGGACAAUCACUAAAACAAGCUCCAAAGUAUUGGCUUCAUUUUCAAGUUUCUGUACUAUCGCUUGGUUGGAAUACUUACUUUGUCUCAAAGGCAUAUAGUAUAGAAAAUGGGAUCAAUGGCAGAUGAAUUGGAUCCAUGUUGAACAAUCAUUGGUGAACACAGGAAAGGAAAGGGCAAAAGUGAGCCUUCUUUUUACAUGGGCGGAAGGCAAUGUUGCCAACUAGAGGGAACAUCUAAUUCUUCUCCUUGCCAAUAUUCACAUUCAGAAAGCUAAUAAGCAGUCUGUCUUGAAGAGUUAUACACAGUAUAUCCCUUUGCCAAUCAAUGACCUUGAUUCUUGGUUGAAGACACCCUCCAUAUAUGUUUUUGAUUGCUCUGCGGCUGGGGGAAUAUUGUGAAUGCUUUUAUUGAGCUUCAUGAUUGGGUUGCUUCUAGCUCCUCUGGAUCCACAAGGGAUUGCAUUCUACUUGGAGCUUGUGAAACACAUGAGACUCUUCCACAAAGUGCUGAAUUUCCGCAGAUGUGUUUACGUCUUGUCUCACAACACCUAUUAAGAUGGCUUUGAGAUGGAUCUUGCAGGCAAAGGACACCAAGUGAAUUAGAUAGAGAGGUUAAGAACUUGAGGGUGGCAUUUACUGACUUGUUUUUGAAGCAUAACACUUUCAAAGAAACUGCAAAGCCAUCGAGAUAUUGACGCAAAGAAUGGAAGAAUGUAUUUCACUA